rnacentral:rRNA from 1 species
UACGUAGGUGGCAAGCGUUGUCCGGAUUUAUUGGGUUUAAAGGGUGCGUAGGCGGUCUAUUAAGUCAGUUGUGAAAUACGGCAGCUCAACUGUCGAGGUGCAAUUGAUACUGAUGGACUUGAGUACUGAUGAGGUAAGCGGAAUGGACGGUGUAGCGGUGAAAUGCUUAGAUAUCGUCCAGAACACCAAUAGCGAAGGCAGCUUACUAAGGAGUAACUGACGCUGAGGCACGAAAGUGUGGGGAUCAAACAGG